rnacentral:rRNA from 1 species
GAUGAACGCUAGCGGCAGGCCUAAUACAUGCAAGCCGAACGGCAAGUUUGAUAGCACUCUUGGACCUAGAGUGGCGCAAGGGUGCGUAACACGUAUGCAACCUGCCCGCGACAGGAGGAUAGCUCCCCGAAAGGGGAAUUAACCCUCCAUAACACCAUGAGAAGGCAUCUGAUUAUGGUUAAACCGCAAGGGGUCGCGGAUGGGCAUGCGGUUGAUUAGCUAGUUGGCGGGGUAAAGGCCCACCAAGGCGGUGAUCAAAAGGGGUUCUGAGAGGAAGGACCCCGACACUGGCACUGAGAUACGGGCCAGACGCCUACGGGAGGCAGCAGUAGGGAAUAUUGGACAAUGGUUGCAAGACUGAUCCAGCCAUGCCGCGUGCAGGAAGAAGGCCUUCUGGGUCGUAAACUGCUUUUUCCUGUGGAUAAAAUACCCGUGCGCGGGGAAUUGAAGGUAACAGGGGAAUAAGCCACGGCUAACUACGUG